UACGUAGGGGGCGAGCGUUGUCCGGAUUUAUUGGGCGUAAAGAGCGUGUAGGCGGCCAGGUAGGUCUGCUGUGAAAACUCGAGGCUCAACCUCGAGACGUCGGCGGAAACCAUCUGGCUAGAGUCCGGAAGAGGAGAGUGGAAUUCCUGGUGUAGCGGUGAAAUGCGCAGAUAUCAGGAAGAACACCCGUGGCGAAGGCGGCUCUCUGGGACGGUACUGACGCUGAGGAGCGAAAGCGUGGGGAGCGAACAGG
rnacentral:rRNA from 1 species